rnacentral:lncRNA from 1 species
GGUUGAGGAUUUCUGCAUCAGCCAUGGGCUGGAGCUGACAGUGCUUUCACAGGGGGGCAGGCUGGGUGUUCCAUCUUUGCAGGACAUCCUUUGUGUGGCCCAGCCGUGAGACGCUGCCUCACUGGGGAAGGUGUUUCUGCAUUAGAGAAAACAGACCAUCGAUGGCCAGCAAAUGAUGUUUCCUGUGGACACACUAGGGAACAAUAAAAGAGGAUCCUUGGGCUGCUGAGAUGAUUCAGUGGAUACAGCUGCUUUCUGCCAAGUGGGAUGACCUGAAUAUGAUCCCUGGAACCCACAUGGUGGAAGGAAGAGAACCAACUUCCACAAAGCUGUCCUCUGACUCCACACGUAUUCUGUGACACGCAGACGUGCACCCGCGCACAUGCAUGCAUGCAUGCAGAAGCAAUAAAGGCUGCUGUUUGAACGCUGUACUGUAGAAGGCACAGACUGAGAUGCUGGAUCAACUGCGCAUGCCUGUCUUUGUGACCGGCUGCUAUCGAUCCUUCCGAGCCCGUGUGCCACGCUGGAAAGCUGCAUCUAAGAGUUAAGAUUUACUGGCUUAAAAGCGUGUGUGUCGUGGGAUUGCGCGGUGGCUCAGUAAG